CGAGGCCAGAGGGGAAGGG
rnacentral:misc_RNA from 1 species